UGUUGUUGUUAUAAGAAGAAGAAAAACACCUCAAUGAGUUUUACACGUUGAACCAUUGCAGUCAGAAAAGAAACACCAUUCAGUUCAAUGGCACUUACUUGAAUACUUAGGACUACAGUCAUGCCAUAUGGUUGGUCAGGGAUGUGAACCCAGGGUGGAGGCACAUUGACAGUCCGGAUUUCCAGCAGAUGUCACUACCGUCAUCCUUGCCUGUGGGCUUGUGUUGAUUCCUAAACAGCUCACACAGAGGCAUCAGCUGUUUGUUCACACAGUCCUGCAUCACUUGCCUCUCCUUCUGUAAUGACAACCUGCCCAACUCCAGCUCCUUUCAUCUUUGAAUUUUAAAGUGUGUUUUAAGCCCUCAUUAAAUCUCACUACACCCAAUGUGAAGGAGGUGUUAAGUGUUAUUAACUGCAUUGUACACAGAGGGAAACUGAGGCAUAGAGCGGUCAGACGACUUGCCUGCAGUCACAGAGGAAGUAUGUGACAAAGCCAUUAAUAGAACCUACGGCUGCUGGAUCACCACCUCCCUUUUAAGCUUUGACCAUUCCAAUAAAUACCAGCAUGAUGCACAUCAAAGCAAUAAACUGUGAUGUCUCAUGGUUUGCCCUAGCCUCGCCUCCUCAUCCUUCUAAUGCCAUAUAGGUGAAUGGUACAUUUGAUGAACUUAUCUUUCAGCGAGUGAUGCUAUCAUUGUCUUGCUUGGGCAAAAAUGUUUAGUUCGGGCAUGGGGGACCUGUAGCCUUCUGGAGGUUGCUAGACCACAGUUCCCUUUAUCCCUGACUAUUGGGCAUGUUAGUUGGAAUCCAAUAACAUCUGGGGCCCCACAGAUUCCCCACACCUGCUUUAUAUUGCAGGGCAUUUUGAACAAGAACGUCUGGAAAUCAUAGAAUCAUAUAACUGCAGAGCUGGAAGAGACCAUGAGGGUCAUCUAGUCCAACUCCUUGCAAUGCAGGAAUCUUUUGCCCAACAUGGGUCUUGAACCCACAACCCUGAGAUUGCGUCACAUGCUCUACUGACUGAGCUAUUAUAUUGCAAAUUUACAACCCACUCUAUUUCAAGGGCUCAGGUCUGUGGCAGGCAUUUUAGCGAAGAAAGAUUCAAGCAAUAUUAUGUGUUUGUAUCACGUUGAUGGUAAAUUAUUAUUAUUAAUUGAAUUCAUACCUUCCCUUCCUCUUCAAGGGGCCCAGGGUGCUCCUUGUUUAUCAUUACAUGAAUGAGCCUCGGGAACAUUUCUUCCUCUCUCUCCUUCUCCAGCUCAGCUGUAAAAAGAUUGGAACUUUUGACGUCUGUUGUUAGUUAACCGCAGUUUAGGGUUACAUCUGAACCUGAAAAGGUGAUUUAUCUUAACUGUGGUUUCCUGAAACAAGCCAACUUUAUAAACCACACAGUAGUUUAUAAAUUCUCACACCCAGACAGAAUGCUAACAGUGGUUAGUUUAAAAAUGGAGUGAAAUCUUCUAAUAUCCUAAUGGCCACACCAGAGAAGCAGAAAAGAGGGAGGAAGUGGUAAGCCUAGCGCUUGUUCAUGUAACGAUAAACCAUAGGAAACUAAAUGCAGCCAUUAUCUUGAGGCAGACUCAGAAUGCAUAUACCAGAGUAUCUUGUUAGUUAGUCUGAGGUAACUAUAUUAGCCUAGCUGAAUGGCUUAAAAGACACUUGAGAAUACACUUGGUUCAGUGGGAGAUUCUCUGAUAUCCACCCCUCUGCUGACAUCAUUUGGCAUUAUAAAACAGGUCACCAGUGCCAAAUUGAAAAUUCAUGAGCCACAUUCGAUUUAUUUAUAGAAUUUGCAUCCCACCUUUUGCUGCAAGCAGCUUUGAGGCAGUUUUCAUCUAUCGUAGAAUAAUGAAAUUAAUUUUAAAAAACAAAUACUAAACAGCAGUAAAACUACAAAAUGAAACUAACAGAGGCAGCAGCAGCUAAAAACCAUUAAAAGGAUCUCAAAUACCAUAAAGUCCAUAUGAGAGAACGGAACCGGGAUUUCAGCUGGUGCCUAAAAGAUCACAAAGAUGGCACCAGGUGAACCCAUCUAGGAAAAGGGAUCAAGAAUUGGGGUGCCACCACAGAAAAUACACUUCUCUUUCGCUCCUUCUCAAAAACAAACAAAUUAAAUAAAUUUACAUAAAUAGUUAUUUCCCCAUGCAAUUUUCGCAUGUGUUUUUGGUAGGUAAAUUUGUUUUAGAAUUACUGGUUUCAUUUAAUAGUUUAAAAUGCUUUUGUGACUUGUUUGCUUUUAUUGGUAUUCUGCAAUGAAUAUUUUAGAUUGCCUUUUGUAAACCGCUUCCAGGUUUUUUG